UACGUAGGUGGCAAGCGAUACUCGGAAUCACUAGGCGUAAAGCGCAGGUAGGCGGUUCGGUAAGUCUUUUGUGAAAGCUCCCGGCUCAACUGGGAGAGGCCAAGGGAAACUACCGGACUAGAGUGUGGUAGGGGAUACUGGAAUUCCUGGUGUAGCGGUGAAAUGCGUAGAUAUCAGGAGGAAUACCUAUGGCGAAAGCAGGUAUCUGGGCCAUCACUGACGCUGAGCUGCGAAAGCUAGGGGAGCAAACAGG
rnacentral:rRNA from 1 species